UACGAAGGGGGCUAGCGUUGCUCGGAAUUCACUGGGCGUAAAGCGCACGUAGGCGGCUUUUUAAGUCGGAGGUGAAAUCCUGGAGCUCAACUCCAGAACUGCCUUUGAUACUGGAGAGCUUGAGUCCGGGGAGAGGUGAGUGGAACUGCGAGUGUAGAGGUGAAAUUCGUAGAUAUUCGCAAGAACACCAGUGGCGAAGGCGGCUCACUGGCCCGGUACUGACGCUGAGGUGCGAAAGCGUGGGGAGCAAACAGGG
rnacentral:rRNA from 1 species